GACGAACCGUACGAACGUUGUUCGGAAUCACUGGGCUUAAAGGGCGCGUAGGUGGUUUGCCAAGUCGGGGUUGAAAUCUUUCGGCUUAACCGGAAAAGUGGCUUCGAUACUGGCAAGCUGGAGGGAGGUAGGGGCGGAUGGAACUUCCGGUGGAGCGGUGAAAUGUGUUGAUAUCGGAAGGAACGCCGGUGGCGAAAGCGAUCCGCUGGACCUCUUCUGACACUGAGGCGCGAAAGCCAGGGGAGCAAACGGG
rnacentral:rRNA from 1 species